UACAGAGGGUGCAAGCGUUGUUCGGAUUUACUGGGCGUAAAGCGCGCGUAGGCGGAAGCUUAAGUGUGGCCUGAAAUCCCCGGGCUCAACCUGGGAAUUGCAUCUGUGACUGCAUAGCUAGAGUACGGUAGAGGGGGAUGGAAUUCCGCGUGUAGCAGUGAAAUGCGUAGAUAUGCGGAGGAACACCGAUGGCGAAGGCAAUCCCCUGGACCUGUACUGACGCUCAUGCACGAAAGCGUGGGGAGCAAACAGG
rnacentral:rRNA from 1 species